GACGAACGCUGGCGGCGUGCUUAACACAUGCAAGUCGAACGAAGAGCGACGGAAGCUUGCUUCUAUCAAUCUUAGUGGCGAACGGGUGAGUAACGCGUAAUCAACCUGCCCUUCAGAGGGGGACAACAGUUGGAAACGACUGCUAAUACCGCAUACGAUCUAAUCUCGGCAUCGAGGAUGGAUGAAAGGUGGCCUCUACAUGUAAGCUAUCACUGAAGGAGGGGAUUGCGUCUGAUUAGCUAGUUGGAGGGGUAACGGCCCACCAAGGCGAUGAUCAGUAGCCGGUCUGAGAGGAUGGACGGCCACAUUGGGACUGAGACACGGCCCAGACUCCUACGGGAGGCAGCAGUGGGGAAUCUUCCGCAAUGGACGAAAGUCUGACGGAGCAACGCCGCGUGAGUGAUGACGGCCUUCGGGUUGUAAAGCUCUGUUAAUCGGGACGAAAGGCCUUCUUGCGAAUAGUGAGAAGGAUUGACGGUACCGGAAUAGAAAGCCACGGCUAACUACGUG
rnacentral:rRNA from 1 species